rnacentral:rRNA from 1 species
AAUGAGGGGAACUCAGGGAACUGAAACAUCUAAGUACCUGAAGGAAGAGAAAGAAAUUCGAUUCCGUAAGUAGCGGCGAGCGAACGCGGAUUAGCCCAAACCAAUAAAGUUUUCUUUAUUGGGGUUGCGGACAUAUCAUAACGAAGAGAUAUCGUAAUUGAAGAGGUUUGGAAAGACCCACCACAGAAGGUAAUAGUCCUGUAUGUUAAACGAGAAGACUUUAGAUAUGAUCCAGAGUACCACGGGACACGUGAAACCCUGUGGGAAGCAGGAGGGACCACCCUCCAAGGCUAAAUACUACCUAGUGACCGAUAGCGUAUAGUACCGUGAGGGAAAGGUGAAAAGAACCCCGGGAGGGGAGUGAAAUAGAACCUGAAACCCUGCGCUUACAAGCUGUGGAAGCACAUUUCUUGUGUGACCGCGUACUUUUGUAGAACGGGCCAACGAGUUACGUUAAGUAGCAAGGUUAAGCACUUAAGGUGUGGAGCCGUAGCGAAAGCGAGUUUUAACUGAGCGUUCAGUUACUUGACGUAGACCCGAAACCGGGCGACCUACCCAUGAGCAGGAUGAAGCGAAAGUAAAAUUUCGUGGAGGUCCGAACCCACGAGCG